rnacentral:rRNA from 1 species
CGGCCGCGUCGACCGGCAGAGUAACUGUUGUCGGCGUGACGGUAUCCAACCAGAAAGCCACGGCUAACUACGUGCCAGCAGCCGCGGUAAUACGUAGGUGCCAAGCGUUAUCCGGAUUUAUUGGGCGUAAAGCGAGCGCAGGUGGUUUAUUAAGUCUGGUGUAAAAGGCAGUGGCUCAACCAUUGUAUGCAUUGGAAACUGGUAGACUUGAGUGCAGGAGAGGAGAGUGGAAUUCCAUGUGUAGCGGUGAAAUGCGUAGAUAUAUGGAGGAACACCGGUGGCGAAAGCGGCUCUCUGGCCUGUAACUGACACUGAGGCUCGAAAGCGUGGGAAGCAAACAGGAUUAGAUACCCUGGUAGUCCACGCCGUCGACGCGGCCG